rnacentral:tRNA from 1 species
UCGUGACAUGCAUGGUGGUUGUAAGCGUCUGGCUCAGGACGCCGGAUUUCGCCAUGUAGUGCAUGCGUUCGAUCCGCACAUCGCGAA